rnacentral:tRNA from 1 species
CCUGCUGUAGCUCAAGUGGUUAGAGCACCGGUUUGUGGUACCGGAGACCGCGGUUCGAGUCCGCGCAGUGGGA